GUGUCAGCCGCCGCGGUAAUACGGAGGAUGCAAGCGUUAUCCGGAAUGAUUGGGCGUAAAGCGUCCGCAGGUGGCUAUGUAAGUCUGCUGUUAAAGAGUCUAGCUCAACUAGAUAAGAGCAGUGGAAACUACAAGGCUAGAGUACGUUCGGGGCAGAGGGAAUUCCUGGUGUAGCGGUGAAAUGCGUAGAGAUCAGGAAGAACACCGGUGGCGAAGGCGCUCUGCUAGGCCGUAACUGACACUGAGGGACGAAAGCUAGGGGAGCGAAUGGGAUUAGAAACCCUUGUAGUCC
rnacentral:rRNA from 1 species